UACGUAGGGUGCAAGCGUUGUCCGGAAUUAUUGGGCGUAAAGAGCUCGUAGGCGGUCUGUCGCGUCGGCUGUGAAAACUCGGGGCUCAACUCCGAGCUUGCAGUCGAUACGGGCAGGCUAGAGUUCGGCAGGGGAGACUGGAAUUCCUGGUGUAGCGGUGAAAUGCGUAGAGAUCAGGAAGAACACCCGUGGCGAAGGCGGCCCACUGGGCCGGUACUGACGCUGAGGCGCGAAGGCGUGGGGAGCGAACGGG
rnacentral:rRNA from 1 species